AUAAGUAAAAACUGUAGAAAGUAAAAAAAAGGGGGAGGGGUGCACAGCCACAAGUACUUGUUUUCUAUCUGUGACAAGAGCUACUAUCCCUAUAUAUUAAGGCUACAAGUGUCUGCUCUGUUAUUUUUUGAUAAUCAUUGAAGCAUAAAAGUCUUAUCCAUGUUAUCAAUAUCAGAAAAUGUGAAGCUAAACAUCUCAGCACUUUAGAUAUUUGGGUCCAUUACAAACUCCGCACAUUUCAAACUUGGCAUAUUACCAACCCGGCCUAUUAAUGAUAAUGCUGCAUAUAUCACUGGGGGUCGUCGCUAACAUGCAUGAAA
rnacentral:lncRNA from 1 species